CAGGGUCUAAUAUUUUUGCACCCGCACUAGAGGUUGGAGGUAUUGACACACACUACUUGUCAUUUAAAAGUUUGGACCCUUCUUCAUUCAUAUACAAGAUGUCAGAAAGGAUGGAUGACUGGAACCCACCUGAAUCAUGGAAGAGAAUAACUUGCAUAAUGAUGAUUCGUGCCAGCCAUCAAAAUAAGGAUAUUAUGGCUGCUGCCCAAUGCUCCAUGAACACAGUAAAAAACAAUCAGACAUGAACUAGAGACUUGCAGUGGUGAUUAUGACGAUGUAGCAAGAAGAAAGAUCCCUAGCAGACGAUCUGAUUGCGUUCGUAGAGCAGAAUUCCUCGCAAAUCUGCAGGAACAGGUGUUGAAGAACCCUGGCAUUGGAAUUCGAGCUUUGUCGCGUGAAAUGAAUGUUGCAGCCUCUAUUAUGAAGCUUGCACUCAAUGAAGACCUUCGCUACUACUCAUACAAGCGGAUUUUCUUUCUCCUACGAAACUGUCAAAUUUAUCCCGAACACCCUGCAUAUAGAUAAUAAUAAAGCAAAAUGUAAAACCAUAAAUAAUAAAAAUUAAAAGUUGAGUGUA